AUUGAACGCUGGCGGAAUGCUUUACACAUGCAAGUCGAACGGCAGCACGGACUUCGGUCUGGUGGCGAGUGGCGAACGGGUGAGUAAUGUAUCGGAACGUGCCCAGUCGUGGGGGAUAACGUCGUGAAAAUUACGCUAAUACCGCAUACGGUCUAUGGAUGAAAGCGGGGGAUCGCAAGACCUCGCGCGAUUGGAGCGGCCGAUAGCAGAUUAGGUAGUUGGUGGGGUAAAGGCCCACCAAGCCAACGAUCUGUAGCUGGUCUGAGAGGACGACCAGCCACACUGGAACUGAGACACGGUCCAGACUCCUACGGGAGGCAGCAGUGGGGAAUUUUGGACGAUGGGCGAAAGCCUGAUCCAGCCAUUCCGCGUGCAGGAUGAAGGCCCUCGGGUUGUAAACUGCUUCUGUACAGAACGAAAAGGUUUCUACUAAUACUAGGAGCUCAUGACGGUACAGUAAGAAUAAGCACCGGCUAACUACGUGCCAGCCGCCGCAGUAA
rnacentral:rRNA from 1 species